UGAACUCCUUGCCGUCUCUUGACCAAAUCAAAGGAGCUCUAAAGUCCCUCUCCUACGUACCAUUUAGAUGUUAGAUGUGGCUGGAGUGGCUCUCAUUUCACAGAUGACAGCGAAGACCCAAAGAGGAAGCAGGUGCAGGGAGAGACAAGCAGUCUGAACUGGUACAGAACAACGGCCCCACCCACAGUGAGUCGGUGAGGAUACAGGCAAGGAAAUUGACAUCGCCCCGAGGUAAGUAGCUUGCCCAUGGUGGCUUGGCUAGCAGCUGCUGGAGUCGGCCAACCUGAGGCACUCACAUCUCUGACCACCGUGCCUGUCUGCCUGAAGCAGAUCAUUUAAUCCAACUGCAACUUUGAGAGCCGGAUUUCCUUCAGUUCUACAAGUAACUGAGGCUGAGCGUUGGAAGCCUGGAUUCAACAGAAAGAUAGCCUAGAGCCAGCUCUGGACUGCGGAGGGAAUCUCAAAGACCGAACCUAUUUCUCGACACAGACUCUGACCUGGAAAGAAUUUUCCAAGCGUCACCCGGGAAGUUACUGCGGAGGGACACAGACCAGCUUGUGCUGCUUGAUGUCACAGGGGCUGCUCAAACCAGGACUGCCACCUGCUAAGAACUGAGCUGCGUUCCCUUGGGCCGUGGCAAGGAAGUACUAAUUUCUAAACUCUUCCCUGCCAGGCCACAGCCUGCAUGUGUGAUGAGUCAGAGAGAGAGAGAGAUAAAGAUAGAUAGAUAGAGAGAGAGAGAGAGAAAGAGAGAGAGAGAGAGAGAGAGAGAGAGAGAGAGAGAGAGAUGUUUGAAAUCAGAAGAAGGCGGGCCUCUGUGAUCCUAUAUCCAUCUUAAGAAAACGCUGAGGAGAGGGCCCUGCCGGGAGGUAGCCAGCCCUUACACCAGAGGCCACAGACAUGCAGUAUUGCGGGCAGCCGUUGGGUAGGAGCUCAACCCGUUCAGGGUCUCCGCUGUGUAUUGAGGACUUGAGCAAGUCAAAGGCGUCAGCAGAAACGCUGAGGUCUCCGAGUAGUGGUUGAUGGCUGGGGCCGUCCCCCUCCCAGGAGCCAGGGUGAUCUCAGCUCAUCGCCUUUGCACUGUUGUGAACGGUGGGGAGAACGGGACUGCGGCCAUGACUCAUCGGCCACACAGUUUGAGGGUGCCGGUGGUGCGCCUGGUCAGACAUACUGCCCUGGAACUCAGUGGCACCAGAGAGACAGGUGCCCUCGCAGGCCACAGAGAGCAGCCCAGCCUUGGUCCCAGAAAGGGGGCUCCCCGGAGGACAGACCGGUUGACGACACUGAGGCCUUCUUCUAUUUAUCUGGACACUGCAGACUGGGUGACAGGAUUCCUGAGUGACUGCUCUGGCUACCUCCCGACUCUGAGACUGAGACCUCGGCCUGAGAGGCUGGGACUUCUCCACACUGCCCUGCCAUGGGCCCGGUGGGGUUUGUGUCCAGCCUGCUGGAGUGAGCGCCACUGGCCUCCCUCCCUCAGCCCCUGCCAUUGCCCGUCCAGAGACAGCCCUCACCUCACCUCCCACAGCCUGGCAGGCGGGGGCCAGAAUUGGUCUACCAAGGAAGCAGAGGACACAAGCCAAAAGGAAGUCACAAAGAUCAGCUUAAAAAUAACCCUCUCAUGUCAGUCAUGAGGAGGAGCUUACAGAGAAGCCAAGCUCCGAUACAGCCCACGGUAAGGUCAGAAAGCCCCCCCCCCGUGGCAAAUCAGCAGAGGUGGGGCUUCCAGCCCCCCACCUUCUUAUCAGCCACUGCCUGAACCUCUGCUCUCCUCAGAGACUUCCGCCCAGCCAGCAUCUGCUUCCUCUCCUAUAUUUAAAACCAGGAUCACUACGAAGGUCUUGGGAACAAAUGACCACUAUUAACUUUCACAUCUUCAGCCGCCGUUUGAAAAACAAACAAACAAACAAAGAUGGAGCCAUCACUCUGACUUCCGCCCCAGCUUCAUCUCCUUUCGGCGUCAGGCUGUUUAUGGAAACCUGACAUGGAAUGGACUUGUGGCGGAGAAAGAAUCUAGGGUCGCCAUUGUACCUGCUAGUCUACCCAUUAUUGAUUGUGAAGUCAACCCAGUGGCUCAUGACCAUGGUGUAUUUUCAGUUAAGUGGAGGAAAGUGGGUACGUCAGGCUCCACUGUACAUAGUAAUGGUGUUACUGUUUGGACUGUAUGAUUGUUAGUGGGUGUCAAUCUAAAAUUCAUUCCUUUUAUUUUAAACAGUGUACUCAGCACUGUUGGUUGAAAAGAUCGUCCUCUGCCCAUUCAGUUGCUUUGGCACUAUUCUUGAAAAUCAGUUAGCUGCAUGUGUGGGUCCAUUUCUAUGUGUGUUCUGUGUGCUAUUCUAUUUGGCUGUCUUCACACCACUACCAGAGCAUUCUGAUUGCUGCGGUUUCUUUUAAAUUCUUCAUUCCUUGGGGGCAGUUUCAACUUCAUAGCAAAACUGAAUGGAUUGUACAGAGAAUGCACAGGAACUUCCUGAGCCCUCCACAUGGAGUCUCAUUAUCAGCUUCCUUGCCAGACUAGGAUAUCUCAACAAUGGAAUGUUGCUGGGACAGUACCAUCACCCAAAAUUCAUAAGCAUUGUAUUAGGGUGCAUUCUGGGUGUUUUACAUAAGGGUUUGGACAGAAGCAUAAUUACAUGCAUCCACCAUUAUGUUAGCAUACAGAAUAAUUUUACAGCCUUAAAAAAAUUCUGUGUCCCACAUAUUAAACUCCCAUAUGCCCCCAAUUCCUGGAAACCAUUGAUCAUUUUACUAUUCCCACCAUCUUGGUAUCUCUAGAAUGUCAUGUAACUGAAGUCAGAUAGUCUGUGGCCUUCCAGAUUGGCUUUUCACUGAGUCAUGUGCAUUUAAGUUAUCUUCAUGUAUUUCAUUGCUUUGUAGCUGAUUUCUUUUUAGUCUCACUGGCAGCUGGUCCUUGUAGGACAUUCAUCUAGUCACCUCCUGAAGAUCAUUUUGGUUACUCCCAAGCUUUGCCUCCAGGCACAGGUUCAUUUGUGGACCCAAGUUUUCAAACACAUUUGAGUAAACUCCAAAGAACAGUUUAUAAUCUUGAGAUACAUAGAUUAAUUAAUUAAUGUAAUUAAGUGGAUUUCUCUGGAGACAGUACAGAGAGUGGAGGUUGGUGGGAACACAUGUAGUUUUUUAACCAGUAAGGAAUGGUGGUGGUUCCUGGUGCCCUGUGUUCUCAAAGGCUUUUGAUCAGUGUUUGGGUCCUGAUCAUCCCACCAGCUGGCCCAUGCUGUCUUGUGUUAGUCUGCAACCCUCUGAUGACAUGAGGUACUUCACUUUCUCACCUGCUGAUUCACCAUCAUUUGUAUCUUCUUUGUGAGGUACCUGUUCAGGGCUCUAGUCCACUUUUUAUUGGGUUGUUAAUUCUCUUCUUAAUUAAUUUUAAGAGCUCUUUGUAUGUUCUAAAUAGUAGUUUCAGAUAUGUUGUGGUGGUUUGAAUAAGAAUGGCUCUCAUAGGCUCAUAUAUUUGAAUGUUUAGUGGCCAGAGAGUGACAUUAUUUUGUAAGGAUUAGGAGGUGUAGGUUUCAAAAACCCAUGCCAAGCCCAGGAUCAAUCAAUCAAU